UUCCUUGAGUAAAUCCCGUUGUCGUAAGACACGUAUCCACUUACCCCUACAGGUCAUAGGGGUGACGUUGGUACCAACCUCCAAUAGACAAAGUUACAUGUUUUGACAAUUCGUAGAAGCAACGUGUUCAUGAGUAUGUAGAAUGCAAUAAGACUCGAUUUUGUAGAUUGGAAAACUAUACUGUUUCGGAGGUUUAUACAUCUAACGAUACUCUCGACGUCACGGAUCGUACAACCGGUAAUGAACGCAGGAAGGAUAACGGCGAUUCUUUGCUAUCUCCGGGUAACUGUAAACUACGUACCGUUUUUCAUGGUUUUUGACGACCUACUUAGACGUUCUUCGUUCUCUAGCAGAAAGCGUCCAACACCCUCUAUCCUACUUGCUUUUCUAAGACGUUUAAAAAGCUAACUGGCCAUUAGCACCUAAUGAAACCGACACAAUCCCCGCAAGAGUCCGAGCGAGAUGACACAUCCUUUACGACCGCGCACGACAAGUAGAGUACUCUUUAGUUGAUCGUUCCUUGUUCUGACGUAAUUUCGGCAACGGCAUCGACGACAGCAGAAGAUGUGGCUUACGAUGGAGUCCUUACCGGUGCGAUGCGAGUACUUUUAACAUUUCUGGUCCAUGGUUUUACCUUUUAAGGGGUCCGAUCUAGACACGACACUACCAACACGACAGGUCUUCUGGGACGGAUGUCAGGUUGCUAUAUGAUGAGGGAGUAUUACAUUCUAUAAAAAACUGUGAUACUAUGCCAUGGUUACUGCCUCGAUUACUUCCUAGAGUCCCCCCGUUUAUCUUUUAUACGUUGAAACUCCCCCGGUUUACUCACGUGAGAUGAUUUAAACUCGGAAGUGCUUCUUUAAAGGAAGUGAUUAAUCGUUACCGGCCCCCCGUCGCCGUGGGGUUCAUUAUGUACAUCGAGGGGACAUACAUACCCUGCCUCCCUCAUCGAGACAAAUACCAUCCGAAUCAACCCCGGUUGGAUAAACAUGGUUGUAAAGAAAAUCGUUGAUAUCAUAGACACAUUUGUAUACUAGUACAAAAAAAAAGAACUACCUGUAUUGCGGUACAAAUCACAUAUAUAGUCACAUAAUGUUGUUUGACUUGGUC
rnacentral:rRNA from 1 species